CAAUUUGAAGCUUGGAGGGAUUCAUUGGAGACUGUUCCUACCAUCAAGAAAUUGAGAGCUUAUGCUGAAAGGAUCAGAGCUGCAGAGCUAGAUAAAUGCCUUUCAAAAAUGGGCGAGGAUAUCCCGAAGAAAACAAGGAGAGCCGUGGAUGAUCUUAGCCGUGGUAUAGUUAACAAGCUCCUUCAUGGUCCAAUGCAGCACCUGAGAUGUGAUGGCAGUGACAGCCGAACUCUAAGUGAAACCCUUGAGAACAUGCAUGCUCUUAACAGAAUGUUUAGCCUUGUAGCAGUGCUGGAACAAAAGCUUCGAGCCAAAACCAGCCAGAAGUAAGCUACGUUAUAAAUUCACUACAUGACACUUCACUCCAAAUUCAAUAAAGAGGAAAACUGUGUUCUCACCAUUGUAGCCUUUAAUAUAGUUGUCAAAGUAUGGGUCCCUGAGGGGGAUCCUUGAAUUCAUUUAUCUUAUGUAAGACGGUCUUUCUAACUUGCAUUUGGGUUCAAUCACGUAUAUCCUGUGUCUUGGUAACAAUUCAUCUUUCUAGGUUAC
rnacentral:misc_RNA from 1 species